AUUUGCUUGCGCCAGCGGAACUGGUGCUGGGCCUCCGAAGCCCGGUGACGAAGGUUCGACUCCUUCCGCGAGCGCCA
rnacentral:tRNA from 1 species